rnacentral:rRNA from 1 species
UACGUAGGGGACCGAGCGUUGUCCGGAAUCAUUGGGCGUAAAGAGCGUGUAGGCGGCCUUUUAAGUCCUGCGUGAAAUCCCUGGGACUCAACCCAGGAACUGCGUCCGAUACUGGAUGGCUUGAGUUUGGGGAGAGGGAUGGCGGAAUUCCAGGUGUAGCGGUGAAAUGCGUAGAUAUCUGGAGGAACACCGGUGGCGAAGGCGGGUCACUGGGCCGAUACU